CUUGGUCAUUUAGAGGAAGUAAAAGUCGUAACAAGGUACCUGUAGGUGAACCUGCAGGUGGAUCAUUAGCGAAGCCCGAUUCGGGUGCAAACUCAAUGCUGCGCAAGCGGCCUAUGUCGUUGUUGUUGUUUAAUUUACAACUGUCAGCAAGGGAUCGUUUGGUUCUCGUGUCGAUGAAGAGCGCAGCGAGGUGCGAAAAUUGGCGUGACACGCAGAGGUGAACGUCGAGUGCUUGAAUGCAGCGUGCACCGUUACGGUGUGUCUGUCUGGGUGUGUGUUAUUUCAAUAAUUUUUGUGUGCGCUGUGGACGCGUUUAGGUGACUGAACCCGCAGCGUCAAUCGUCGGUGUGCGGCGAAUAGUGUCGUCUGUGCAGAAGUUUCGUCACCCCAGAUCAGAUACGACUACCCGCUGAACUUAAGCAUAUCAAUAAGCGGAGG
rnacentral:rRNA from 1 species